GUGUCAGCCGCCGCGGUAAUACGGAGGGUGCAAGCGUUAUCCGGAAUUAUUGGGUUUAAAGGGUCCGCAGGCGGGCAUAUAAGUCAGUGGUGAAAGCCUACAGCUUAACUGUAGAACUGCCAUUGAUACUGUAAGUCUUGAAUUCGGUCGAAGUGGGCGGAAUGUGACAUGUAGCGGUGAAAUGCUUAGAUAUGUCACAGAACACCGAUAGCGAAGGCAGCUCACUAGGCCUGAAUUGACGCUCAUGGACGAAAGCGUGGGGAGCAAACAGGAUUAGAUACCCCAGUAGUCC
rnacentral:rRNA from 1 species